rnacentral:rRNA from 1 species
CCUACGGGAGGCAGCAGUGAGGAAUAUUGGUCAAUGGACGGAAGUCUGAACCAGCCAUGCCGCGUGCAGGAAGACGGCUCUAUGAGUUGUAAACUGCUUUUGUAAAAGGGUAAACUGAAUACGUGUAUUCAGCUGAAAGUACUGUACGCAUAAGGCUCGGCUAACUCCGUCCCAGCCGCCGCGGUAAUACGGAGGAUCCAAACGUUAUCCGGAUUUAUUGGGUUUAAAGGGGGCGUAGGCGGAUUGAUAAGGUCGUGGUGAAAUGUCCGAGCUUAACUCGGGAACUGCCGCUAAUACUGUUGGUCUAGAGAGGAGGUGCGGUAGGCGGAAUGUAUGGUGUAGCGGUGAAAUGCUUAGAGAUCAUACAGAACACCGAUUGCGAAGGCAGCUUACCAGUCUAUAUCUGACGUUGAGGCACGAAAGCGUGGGGAGCAAACAGGAUUAGAUACCCGAGUAGUC